GGGAGAAGUUUGAAUACUCGCUAACUGGGACUCAUGUUAAUGUUACUACUUAGCUUCGGCUGAUGGAGGUCCUGACGAACCACGUCCAGAUAAAGCAUCCGGAGUGAAAAAAUUGAAUGAAAAAAUUAUGUCCUUUACCACUACAUGAGUGUUGCUGCUUUCUAGAGGGAGAUGGCGAACAGCAAUGCCAAGCUGUGUGUGUCUGUUUUGGGUUCAUUGUGGAGAUGAGCUGGAGGUUGAGGGAGCUUCAAUCCUGGGGACUGAUGGAAAGGAAGAUGCUAUAUAGAGUCUGGUGGGGCUGCUGCUGAGAGGAGUGGGAGACAAACUCAAUGAGGAGGAGGAAGCUUUUGUGAAUGAUGAUGAGGAAGUCGACUGAGCCAGAGGGAUUUUCCCCAUUCUAUACCCCCAUUGUCUUCUUCCCGAUUAUACACUUUUUUCCCAAAGUAUGCACUUGCGCAUUUUCUGUCAUGGAUCAGAAUUUGAUUGGCGUAAUUAUUGGCUAAAGGGAGUUCCCACCAUUGUUAAAUCUAUGACGGGAAAGGGUGGAUAAUUGGGAUCUAGCUCUCUAACCCCAGCCCUAACCCCUAGAGAAGUUUCAACUCAGGGUAAUGUAUUGCUAUUAUUGCAUGCCCAAUUAAACAUUGAUUUUGCACAAAGAAACAUGUACAUAGACAUAUAGAUGACUGUCUUCCAGAGCCAUAGGAUAUGAGGGAAACUGUUCAUCUCAAGCCCCAUUCCAUCUUUUGAAUUAUAAAUGUAUAUGAUAUAAGAAUGUAUAUGAAACUACAGUAUUCAGGUGUUUUUGUUACAUUUUAAUUGGGACUAUAGGAAUGUAAAAAAUAGACAAAUCUGUUGAAUGAAACCUAUUUACUUGUAUAAUUUUACAUUAUAUUUAGUUAUUUACUUUAUUUUUUAUUGUAAGAAUAAUGAUGAUGAUGAGACUGCGUACCAUUGAUCUAGCCUUGUCACGCCGUGAUCUGUUACACCUGUCCUUGUGCUUGUCUCCUCCUCCCCCCAGGUGUCGCCAAUCUUCCCUAUUAUCACCUGUGUAUUUAUACCUGUGUUCUCUGUCUUGUUUGUUGCCAGUUUGUCUUGUUCGUUCAAGCUUACCAGCGGUUUUCCUGUCAGCGGCUAUUGUUUCCAACCCUUGCUUUGCUAGUCCUCCUGGUUUUGACCGAUGCCUGACAUCUCUGCCUGAGCCUGCACCUUUGCUCCACCUCUGGAUUACUGAACCCUGCCUGACCCUGAGUCUGCCUGCCGUCCUGUACCUUUGCCUAACCCUUGAUUUUCGACCCCUGCCUGCCUUGACCUGUCUUUGCAUGUCCCUGUUUGCUACAAUAAACAGGGUUACUUCGACAGUCUGCAUCUGGGUCUUACCUUGAUUCUUGAUAAGCCUAUACUGUCAGAUCCAAAUAAUGUUUACAUAAAGCAACAUUGCCAAAGAUGUCAACAUUCCAGACCUCCAGGACAUGUCCUCAUUUGAUCCAGAGAUGGAACCACUGGUUAAAUCGUGACUGGACCAAAGACUGGGGCAGAUCUACUGGGCUCCUGAGUGGCGCAGAGGUCUAAGGCACUGCAUCUCAGUGCUAGAGGUGUCACUACAGACCCUGGUUUCGAAUCCAGGCUGUUUCACAACUGGCCAUGAUUGGGAGUCUGCACAAUUGGCCCAGCGUCAUCCGGGUUUGGCCGGGGUAGGCCGUCAUUGUAAAUAAGAAUUUGUCCUUAACUGAC
rnacentral:lncRNA from 1 species